UACGGGGGGGGCAAGCGUUGUUCGGAAUUACUGGGCGUAAAGGGCUCGUAGGUGGCCAACUAAGUCGGACGUGAAAUCCCUCAGCUUAACUGGGGAACUGCGUCCGAUACUGGAUGGCUCGAGUUUGGGAGAGGGAUGCGGAAUUCCAGGUGUAGCGGUGAAAUGCGUAGAUAUCUGGAGGAACACCGGUGGCGAAGGCGGCAGCCUGGACCGAUACUGACGCUGAGGAGCGAAAGCCAGGGGAGAAAACGGG
rnacentral:rRNA from 1 species